GUUCAGCUACUAUAUUUGUAAUAGAAACUAUUAUGAAAACAACAACAACGCCGACAGUAGAAAAAGAUGCAAGCAGGGUUUGGACUUUUUAGAUCCGUCCUUCCAUCAUCUCGUGCCAACAAAUCGAUUCCUCAAUCGUAUAAAACCUUCCGCCAAUAUCACAUAAUGCCUCAUUUAGUCUAGGUUUUAUAGCAUCAAAAAAACCAUGCUACCCAAUCAAACAAACAAACAAACAAACACAAAAAGUAAACAAGAUAACAAAAAUAUAUUUGAGUAAUGAAAAAUAAUCUAAAUUACUUGGAGAAAACUGAUCUUGGUAUACAAUAAGAAGGAACAGACAUCUGAAACUUUAAACUUUUUCUGGAUAAACUUUUUUUUUCUUCUUCCAGAAUUACAAGACAAAAAGGAUGGAUGGCCUAGACACUACGCAUAUCUGAUUCCCAAAAACUGGAGCUGGGUAAUUUUUGGACAUACAACUAAAUAACUCGAGCACACUUUAUUUAUCAACUUCCAUUGCCUGAGCAGCUUUAGCUUUAGCCAAUGGCGUCAAUUUGGUCUUCAACUUUUUCUUCCCAACUGAGAAACCACUUGCACCUUUCUUCUUCUUCUUCUCACUACCAUCCACCUACCCCAAGAAAAAUAUAGCAAACAAGAUUUCAUUCUCAAAAAUUAAAAGUGAUUCAAACUUUAAUACAUAUAUAAACGAGCUAUUUUUUCUAAGUCUGAAAUUUUAACAAGUUUUGAAGCUUGCUUCAAAUAAUCAACUUUUCAUUACAAAUGAAGGCAAAACAUACAUUACAACAAAGCAAUGUGAACCAGAAAAAGCACCAUUCUUUUAUUUAUAAGUGAAUAUAUUGCAAUUAACUGCCAAAACAGGGGCCGCACCCAUGUACAUAUAGGGUGUAUACAAAAGGCAAAGGAGAAACAAAAACCUCCCAAGCUCAACGACUCUAACACCGCCAUAAAAAAUAGCAUAGAAAAAGGCCCUGGAUCACCCAUAAAAUAAAACACACUAAGGAGUCUAAACCCCUAGAGCAACCCAGGAAAAUAAAGUGUAAUACAGUUACGGACGAGCAAAAAAUAAACCAAAUUCUGAACAAUCAGGGCGAUUGAAUCACUUCUUUCAUAAAUCAAUACCCACUUCCUUGCCUAUAAUUUCCUAACCCAAUUCAUACUAAUUUUUAAGUAUUCUUUCAGUAAUCAACUUUUCAUUGACUAGUCAAAGCAAGAUUAAAUGCCUACACAAACAUUCCAAUAUCAAAACCAUAAGAGCUCAGGAAAAAGGAAUUAUAAUAAUAUAGAUAGCUAUGAGCCAAAAAUUAUCCAAAUUCACGAUAGAUAAAUAGAGAGUUACCUUCAUCUUGUUCUCCCCUAAUUUUCCAAAUUUACAUAAUAAACAGAAUUAGAUAACUGAAACAAAUAUCUACGGAAACAAAUAAAUAAAUAUAUACAUAUACACACAGAGAGAAAGAUACAAUUUUGUGGGUUUGAGAAGUUUUACUUUGCAUUUCGAAUUCAUGCUGUCUUUUCCUGCGAGCUAAAUCGUUCUUCUUCGACAUUUUGAUGCAGUUUCCCCUAGCAAGUCCUCUGCUUUCUGGUUCUUCCUCUAGUCCUUCCUUUAAACCCUAACCCUCAUUUUUUGGGUCGCCAACCGGAUGGAUUGAUUCAUAUAAAAGGCAAAUUGCUUCAACUGUUC
rnacentral:lncRNA from 1 species